AGGUCAGAGCUAUAGAGAGAGAGAGUUGCGACACUUCCAUUGGACUCCGUUGUAGCGCCUACUUCCGGGGUAUGGAGCCUCGAAUAGUUCCAAACAACCAUUUUACGGCGUAGGAGACCGUUCAUUUCCAUUGCUGGCCGCCGAGUAACUUCUGAGGGUGAUGUUCAGCACAUGAAGCCCUACAGAUGCCGCCAAUUCAACAAUGCUGAUUAUGAUGGGCGGUGAAUUUAACCUAUAUGGCUUUUUCGUUUUAACUUCUUGUUGACUGAAUUGUUUCUCUUUCUUAGUGCCAAAUUGAUUCUCUUUCUAAGUGCCAAAUUGAUUCUUUUUUCUUCUGCUCUCCUUCUCAUUAAUUUUUCCUUUUCUAGUUGCCUUAUUAGGUCCUCCACAGUCGCCCCAUCAGUCCCUGGCAGUCUGGUCCCUGGAGCAGCUGGCCCUGGCAAAAGUUAUUCCUUCACUGUUGACCCCUGACUGACUGGCCCUCGGCACACAAAUCCCUGGAUCACCUGCCACUGGAUCACCUGCCACUGGAUCACCUGCCCCUGAUUCACCUGCCCCUGGCAAUGUGGCCUCUUGAUUGCUCUCUCUGUCUCCUGUGAUGUCCUUUUCAACGCUCUUGAAAUCCACCUAAAUUUCUCCCUCAAUCUCUGUAACAAUUACAAGGUAAUCCGUGAUAACCCUUCUCGGACCGAUUGGAGCAUCCAAAUGCUGCACAGCCAACCAUGGUAUGACCAUUGAUCUAUAAAAUGUUAGUUGUAACCAUUGAACCAUGACACCAUUGAAGAUCACAGAGCGGGUAACAACUGUUCCUCAACCACUUAUGCCCUGACUUUUGAGAAUAGGUUAGAGGUCAGAGUUCAUGACCAAACGAGGAUCCUCCCUCCUAAACCCAUUUUGAAUUUCCUAGGGCUAUUCUAAGUAUUGUAAUGGCAUAAAGUAUAGUAUAUUUGCAAUGUUAUAUGUUAAUGGUUUGCCCUAAGUAUAUAGUGUUCCCU
ensembl:lncRNA